rnacentral:ncRNA from 2 species
AGCAGCACGGGAGAGCGACCCGUGGCUGGCAGACAAUCCAGCCCCCAUCCCACGGCAACUGUGGAUAGGGGCUGGCUUUCUGCGCUUAACCCCGUCUUCAAAUAAAGGGAAAGAUUCAGUGCAUUGCACUUGAUUGCACAACUUCUCGCCAGCGUUAGGGAACGGACCGCAUCGCUCGGGGCGAACAUCUUUCUCCUCGCGGUUCCGUAGUCCCG